rnacentral:pre_miRNA from 1 species
AUUGGCACUGGCGGAAUAGUCACUUGUUGUGCAAUUGUGGUGUUCCUUCAGUGGCAUAAA